rnacentral:tRNA from 1 species
GGAGGGUUGGCCGAGUGGGAAGGCAGCGGCUUGCUAAGCCGUCGUCGGGGUUCUCCCCGCGCGAGUUCGAAUCUCGCACCCUCCG